rnacentral:lncRNA from 1 species
CUUCUUUUUAAACUGCAGUUAAUGGCAUUCAGUUCAUCACACAAGUUAAUGUAGCAAGACUGGACAAAGCUCGGUUUCAAUUUUCGAGGUGAGGGUUUCUAUUCCUUUAGUUAUAUUCUGUAGAAUAUUGCAUCCACUAUGAGGAACUAGAAGCUAGGUGAACACAAAAUCAUUGAAAAAAUAACCAAACCAUUAAAACUAAAACAUCACAUGAUACUCUUUCAGGGUAUGUAUGGAAUCCAAACAAUACCCUCAAGAGUUAAUAAGUCUUCACAAAUUCACCCGCUAUGAGAUGUUAGAAGCUAGGUUCACACAAAUUCACGAGAAAAAUAGACAAAUCAUUAAAACCAAAGAAACUCCCAAGAUUUUAAGUCUUUACAAAUUCCCCUGCUAUGAGAAGCUAGGUGUACACAUAAAAUCGCUAGAACAGACAAACCAUAAAAACAACACCUAAUGCAUGCUUUGUUCAGAGUAUUUCCUCUACCUUCUUGAUCCUUAAGGUUGCAUGUAUACGACUCAGUAAACCGGGAAAGCACGUGUUUAUCUUCUCAUUGAUCUUGUCGAGCUCUUCAUCCUUGACGUAAUGGACAUAAACAUUUCGUAUUACUCGGAUCAAAUCCUCAACGCUAUUCCCAUUUAAUUUUUCUCAUUUCUCUUUUUGUGUAAAUUUUUUUGACUUAUCCAGAUAACCAUCUAUGACUAUCUUGGUGUCCCAAUUUCUGAAUUCUUCAAAAUCAAGGCCUCUAAUUUUCGUAUCAAAACAAGGACCAUUGAGCCUUGUUUUGUGCUUCUUUGAUUGGUGAAAAUCAAAGUAACAUUUGAGCCUACUGAACUCACUCUUCAAAGUUGGGUGAUCGAUGAGCAUAGAGACAAACCUAUCAUAACUAGGAAACAGAUUAAGUUUUCAGGUAUAAGAUUAAGUUUUCAAAUGAAUAAAAGUGCUUUUAUAGAAAAUCUUUUCGGGUUCCAAAAACACUUGAAGUGCUUUUCCUGUAUUGUUUCCAAAAAAUUUCCACAAAAAACGUUUUUGGUCAUUUUAAAAGCACUUCCAAACAAGCCUAAACUUGUUUACUUACUUCCACAAGUAAGUUUGCCCACCAUUUGUGAAGCAAUUGAGAAGUUGUGUCCUAUCCACUAUCGUCAGUGGGAAUUUAUCAGUGAUAAAUUCACCCAAAUCUGACAAGUCUUGAAACCUUUGCGUAUGGCCGUCAUUCCCACUCUUAAUGUUAAAAAUCAUCACAUCAUCGCCUAAGAUCACAUAGUUGGAUACUUUCUUUAAUUCCCUAUGAAUCUGAUCCUUGUUGUGCAUAUACUGUAUCGUCAUAAGUGUCUUCCUACACAAGUAAGCAACUUUAAUAAGUUCCACGUACACGUAUAGUCACACACACGCACACACAAAGAAACACAUGAACACUUACUAACGAGCAUUCUCCACCACAGGUCGGUGCAAUUGUUUCUGUUUGUCCACUGAUUGUAGGUGGAAAAUGUUCGUUAGUAAGCGUUCAUGUGUUUCUUUGUGCGUGCGUGCGUGUGACUAUACGUGUACGUGGAACUUAUUAAAGUUGCUUACUUGUGUAGAAAGACACUCAAGACAAUAUAAUACAUGCACAACAAGGAUUAGAUUCGUGGGGAUUAAAGAAAGCAUCCAGUUAUGCGAUCUUAGGCGAUGAUGUGAUGAUUUUUAACAUUAAGGACAGGAAUGACAGCCACACGCAAAGGUUUCAAGACUUGUCAGAUUUUGACGAAUUUAUCAUUGAUAAAUUCCCACUGACGAUAGUGGAUAGGACAUAAUUUCUCAAUUGCUUCAAAAAUGGUGGGCAGGCUUACUCGUGGGAGUAAGUAAACAAGUUUAGGCUUGUUUAGAAAUGCUUUUAAAAUGACCAAAAACGCUUUUUGUGGAAAUGUUUUUGGAAACAAUCUAGGAAAGUGCUUUUGGAACCCAAAAACAUUUUCUCUAAAAGCACUUUUAUUCAUUUGAAAGCACUUCCAAAUGAUUGAUUAGUUGUUCAAUUAAAUUAUUUGGUAUAUUAUUCUUAUACCUGAAAAUUUAAUUUGUUUCCUAGUUAUGACAGGUUUGUCUCUAUACUCAUCGAUCACCCAACUUUGAAGAGUGAGUUCAACAAGCUCAAAUGUUACUUUGAUUUUCACCAAUCAAAGAAGCACAAAACAAGGCUCAAUGGUCCUUGUUUUGAUACGAAAAUUAAAGGCCCUGAUUUUGAAGAAUUCAGAAAUUGGGACACCAACAUAAUCAUAAAUGGUUAUCUAGAUAAGUUAAAAAAAUUAACACAAAAAGAGAAACGAGAAAUUAAAUGGGAAUAGUGUUUAGGAUUUGAUCCGAGUAAUACAAAAUGUUUAUGUCCACUAUGUCAAGGAUGGAGAGCUCGACAAGAUCAACGAGGAGAGAAACACGUGUUUUCCCGGUUUACUGAGUCGUAUACAUGCAACCUUAAGGAUCAAGAAAGUGUAGGAAAUACUCUGAACAAAGCAUGCAUCAGGAUUUGUUUUUAUGGUUUGUCCAUUGUUCUAGUGAUUUUAUGUGUACACCCAGCUUCUAGCUUCUCAUAGCAGGUGAAUUUGUAAAGACUUAAAAAUCUUGGGAGUUUCUUUGGAUUCAUGUAUACUUGAAAGAGUUAAAGGUGUUGUUUAGUUUUAAUGAUUUGUCUAUUUUUCCCUUUGUGUGAACCUAGCUUCAAACGGAUGAAUUUGUGAAGACUUAUUAACUCUUGAGGGUAUUGUUUGGAUUCCAUGCAUACCCUGAAAGAGUACCAGAUACUGUUUUAGUUUAAUGGUUUGGCUAUUUUUUCAGUGAUUUUGUGUUCACCUAGCUUCUAGCUUCUCAUACCGAAUGCAAUAUUCUACAGAAUGAAACUAAAGGAAUAGAAACCCUCACCUCAAAAGUUGAUAAGCAGGCUGUUUGUAGGUGGAGAACAUUCGUUAAUGAGCAGGUUUUGAUGUGCCAAGCCGGAGCUGUUUCAGAAGUGUCUCGCGGCCAUUUUUUUUAGUUUUGUUGAGUAUGGCACCAAGGUAGACUCCACUGCUUUUCCGUC